GAAGUUUUACACUCAAUAAAAUCCUGCUUUACAUAUAUUACUCUGUGUGAUGUCUUAAUAUUAAUGUUGCAAAAUCCAAAUAAGUAAAGAUUUCACCUGAUGUGUUCAUCUUUUUGUUCCAUAGGAGUGUGUGAAUAUCUCUACACUAUGAAGAAUAAAAUUAACCAAAUGAGAAAUAGAGAAAAAAGCUAUCCGUUCUCUGGAUGA
rnacentral:lncRNA from 1 species